UGCCUAUUGGCUCAGUGGUCAAGGCGUCUGACUGUUAGUAUUAACAGAUAAAUCAGAAGAUCCCUGGUUCGACCCCAGGAUGGGCAG